ACGGGAGGCAGCAGUGGGGAAUAUUGCACAAUGGGCGCAAGCCUGAUGCAGCCAUGCCGCGUGUAUGAAAAAGGCCUUCGGGUUGUAAAGCACUUUCAGUCGUGAGGAAGGUGUUAAGGUUAAUAACCUUAGCAAUUGACGUUAGCGACAGAAGAAGCACCGGCUAACUCCGUGCCAGCAGCCGCGGUAAUACGGAGGGUGCGAGCGUUAAUCGGAAUUACUGGGCGUAAAGGGCACGCAGGCGGUUAAUUAAGUUGGAUGUGAAAUCCCCGGGCUUAACCUGGGAAUGGCAUUCAAGACUGGUUAGCUAGAGUCUUGUAGAGGGGGGUAGAAUUCCAUGUGUAGCGGUGAAAUGCGUAGAGAUGUGGAGGAAUACCGGUGGCGAAGGCGGCCCCUGGACAAAGACUGACGCUCAUGUGCGAAAGCGUGGGGAGCGAAACAGGGAUUAGAUACC
rnacentral:rRNA from 1 species